AUGGAGGAGGCUGGGAGCGACGAUCGCAUCAGCGGCCUCUCCGACGACCUCCUCCGCGACAUCCUCCUCCGCCUCCGCUCGCUCCCCGCCGCCGCGCGGACCACCAUCCUCUCCCGCCGCUGGCGCCACGUCUGGACCAGCAUCCCCGAGCUCGUCAUCGACGAGCUCCACGUGCCGGGCCGGCCGCCGAGCUCCUUCCUGCGCGCCGUGGAAGGCGCCCUCGCCGCCUACUCCGCCUCCAACGUCGACGUCGCCGCCCUCACCAUCGCCGUGCCCGACGUCAGGCUCUGCCGAAUCGAAGCCCGCCGCGUCUCCUCGUGGCUGCGCGUCGCCUCGGAGCGCGUCGCCGGCACGCUGUCCCUCGCCCUGCCCCGCUCCGAGCCCAUCGUCCACGGCCACGGACAGGAGGUCGAGCUGCCCCCGUGCAGGAGGGCGACGGAGAUCACGCUCUCCCUCGCGGGGGCGUUCGUGCUCCGGCUCCGGCCGGCGGCCUCGUUCGCGGCGCUCACCGUGCUGACGAUACAGUCGGCCGCCAUGGACGGCCGGGAGCUCGGGGCGUUCGUGUCGUCCAUGUGCCCGCGCCUGACGGACCUCACCCUGCGCGUCAGCCUCGUGGCCUGCUCCGACGUCUCCAUCCGCUCCGCCUCUCUCAGGCGCCUAGAGUUCGGGGCCGGGUGCGCCCAGCGGCUCGGGGUCGCCGCCCCCAUGCUCGAAGUGCUGGUCGCGUCGUUCCUCCACCACGCCCACAUCUCGGCCCCGAGGCUCGCCGAGGCCAAGGUCCAGCGCCUGCACCGGCACCACUUCGCCGACGACGUGCCUCGUCGUCUCCGGCGGCUGGACAUCACGCAGCUGUACCUAAACGCGGCGGCGCCCCCGAGGGCCCGGCGGUUCGAUGCGGUCGACGAGCUGAGACUGUCUGCCCUCAUUGGAAUGGAGGGAUACACCAGCUUCUUGGAUGAUGUAAACAACCUUCCCGUGUGUCAGACCGUAUUAUCGGUAUCGCUAACAGGGGAUCACCACGGCUUUGUUCCAACCAUGCUGCAUCUCCUCAGGAGAAGCAACGCUAUAAAGAAGCUUGUGCUGGAGACAUACACUCAGACGAAAGACCCAUGCUCGACGGCUUGUCCAUGCCGCUUGCCGGAGAGUUACAGGGCCAACAAUAUGACCCUCGAUUCACUUGAAGAGAUAGAGAUCAAUACGUUCAUGGGAGAAGAUGACCAGGUGGAAUUCUUAGAGAUGCUAGUAUCCAGAUGCAGUGCAACAAGACCUAUAAAUGUGGUGCUCAACAAGUCGUACCUUGUUCCUUUACGAACCGAGAAAGUUUCCGAGAUGAUCCGCAGCAUUUCUCGUCCAAAUCUCAGAGUCGGAUUACAUUAA
rnacentral:rRNA from 1 species